GACGAACGCUGGCGGCGUGCCUAAUACAUGCAAGUAGGACGCAGUUGCGAACGGGUGAGUAACGCGUCGGUAACUGCCUAUUAGAGGGGGAUAACUAUUGGAAACGAUAGCUAAUACCGCAUACUUGUCGAUGGACCUGCGUUGUAUUAGCUAGUAGGUAGGGUAAUGGCCUACCCAGGCGAAGCUACAUAGCCGACCUGAGAGGGUGGUCGGCCACACUGGGACUGAGAAACGGCCCAGACUCCUACGGGAGGCAGCAGUAGGGAAACGUCGGCAAUGGGGGGAAACCUGACCGAGCAACGCCGCGUGAGUGAGGAAGGUUUUCGGGUCGGAAAGCUCGGUUGUUAAGGAAGCGGUACUUAACCAGAAAGGGACGGCUAACUACGUGCCAGCAGCCGCGGUAAUAC
rnacentral:rRNA from 1 species